rnacentral:lncRNA from 1 species
AGGCAUCGGCGCGGUCAGCCUCGUGGCGCGCCCACGCCCCCACGCCGGCUCUUCCCGGGGUCCUUCCGUGCGCGUUGAUAUGAUUGGCCGGCGAAUCGUGGUUCUCUUUUCCUCCUUGGCUGUCUGAAGAUAGAUCGCCAUCAUGCCGAAGGAGUAAAGGUGCUGCAAUGAUGUUAGCUGUGGCCACUGUGGAUUUUUCGCAAGAACAUUAAUAAACUAAAAACUUCAUGUGUCUGGUUGUUUG